GUUGCCAUUGUUUUAUUGCCCUCUGCACAGACCGUUGCUCAUGGGCUCCACACGUUGGCACAAAGCAUCUCAAAGAAUGAAAAGGCGUGGCCUCUGGAGGAGCAGGGGAUUCACGUGCGAUGUUCUUUGGACAGAGCCCUGCCUUCCACGGCGGUGGCGUGUCUGUCGUGUGGACGCCACCUUUCUUAAGGCAGGUAGAGGAAAGGCUCGCCAGACAGAUAUUGUUUGAACCAAGAGGAGGACUCCUGGUUGAACACUGCUCCCUGGCACACUC